UACGGAGGGAGCUAGCGUUGUUCGGAAUUACUGGGCGUAAAGAGCGCGUAGGCGGUCUGUAAAGUUAGGAGUGAAAGCCCAAGGCUUAACCUUGGAACUGCUCUUAAAACUCACAGACUAGAGAUUGGUAGAGGAUGGUGGAAUUCCUAGUGUAGAGGUGAAAUUCGUAGAUAUUAGGAGGAACACCGGUGGCGAAGGCGGCCAUCUGGGCCAAUACUGACGCUGAGGCGCGAAAGCGUGGGGAGCAAACAGG
rnacentral:rRNA from 1 species